rnacentral:rRNA from 1 species
UACGUAGGGUCCGAGCGUUGUCCGGAAUUAUUGGGCGUAAAGAGCUCGUAGGCGGUCUGUUGCGUCGGUUGUGAAAACCUGGGGCUCAACUCCAGGCCUGCAAUCGAUACGGGCAGACUAGAGUUCGGUAGGGGAGACUGGAAUUCCUGGUGUAGCGGUGAAAUGUGUAGAGAUCGGGAGGAACACCGGUGGCGAAGGCGGGUCUCUGGGCAAUUCCUGACGCUGAGGCGCGAAAGCGUGGGGAGCAAACGGG